rnacentral:rRNA from 1 species
CGGUAAUUCCAGCUCCAAUAGCGUAUACUAAAGUUGUUGCAGUUAAAAAGCUCGUAGUUGGAUUUCUGCGGGGACGGAGCGGCCGGACGCAACUUGCGUCUCGAGCUAGCGCUUUCCCCGCAUCCUGCCGCGAACCGUGCUACCAUUAGUUUGGUGGCGCUGGGGAUCGGCUCGAUUACUUUGAGAAAAAUAGAGUGUUCAAAGCAGGCCACACGCCUUGAAUAAGUUAGCAUGGAAUAAUGACUAAGGACUUUGGUUCUUUUCGUUGGUGUUCGGGACUGAAGUAAUGAUUGAUAGGGACAGUUGGGGCGGUCCGUAUUCCAAAGCGAGAGGUGAAAUUCUUAGACCUUCGGAAGACGAACAGCUGCGAAAGCGUUCCGCAAGGAUGUUCCCUUUGAUCAAGAACGAAAGUUGGGGGAUCGAAGACGAUCAGAUACCGUCGUGGUCUCAACUAUAAACUAUACCAGCUAGGGAUCGGCCAACGUUUAAUUAUUCGACUUGGUCGGCACCUUAUGAGAAAUCAAAGCAUCUGGGUUCCGGGGGGAGUAUGGUCGCAAGGCUGAAACUUAAAGGAAUUGACGGAAGGGCACCACCAGGCGUGGAGCCUGUGGCUUAAUUUGACUCAACACGGGAAAACUUACCAGGUCCAGACAUAGGAAGGAUUGACAGAUUGAUAGCUCUUUCUUGAUUCUGUGGGUGGUGGUGCAUGGCCGUUUUUAGUCGGUGAAGUGAUUUGUCUGCUUAAUUGCGUUAACGGACGAGACCCCUGCCUGCUAAAUAGCGCGGCCGAGCUUUGCUCGGUACGAGCUUCUUAGAGGGACCAUGAUGCGCGAUAGCACAAGGAAGUUUGGGGCAACAACAGGUCUGUGAUGCCCUUAGAUGUUCUGGGCCGCACACGGGCUACACUGGCGCCUGCAACGAGCAUAUCAGCUGGCCCGAGAGGGUCUUGGCUAAUCUUUGGAACCGGCGCCGUGCUUGGGAUUGACCAUUGCAAUUGUUGGUCAUGCAACGAGGAAUGCCUUGUAAACGCGAGUCAUCAGCUCGCAUUGAAUACGUCCCUGCCCUUUGUACACACCGCCCGUCGCUCCUACCGAUGAAUGUUCCGAUGAAAUUUUCGGAGAGCGCCGGAGAACGGGGCUCUGCCCUGCAGAACUGGAGGCUCAAAGUCACUUAAAUCUGAACAUUUCGAGGAAGGAGAAGUCGUAACAAGGUAGCCG